UGGGGAAUUUUGGACAAUGGCGCAAGCCUGAUCCAGCCAUGCCGCGUGCGGGAAGAAGGCCUUCGGUUGUAAACCGCUUUUGNCAGGGAAGAAAUCUUCUGAGUUAAUACCUCGGGAGGAUGACGGUACCUGAAGAAUAAGCACCGGCUAACUACGUGCCAGCAGCCGCGGUAAUACGUAGGGUGCAAGCGUUAAUCGGAAUUACUGGGCGUAAAGCGUGCNCAGGCGGUUUUGUAAGACAGAGGUGAAAUCCCCGGGCUCAACCUGGGAACUGCCUUUGUGACUGCAAGGCUUGAUGCGGCAGAGGGGGAUGGAAUUCCGCGUGUAGCGGUGAAAUGCGUAGGUAUGCGGAGGAACACCGAUGGCGAAGGAAUCCCCCUGGGGCCUGCACUGACGCUCAUGCACGAAAGCGUGGGGAGCAAACAGGAUUAGAUACCCUGGUAGUCCACGCCCUAAACGAUGUCAACUGGUUGUU
rnacentral:rRNA from 1 species